rnacentral:misc_RNA from 1 species
AUACAUAAUUGGUGCUGAAAUUUGAAUGCCCUUUCGGCUCCAUACCCGCCAGCAAAAAACGAUAGAGAGGAUAUCAACGUCAUUACAAAAAGGACACUAGGGUAAAACUGAAACAAAAUUAUUGAAAUUAAAAAAAAAAAAAAAAAAAAAAAAAAAAAAAAACCCGCGGGUCUCUCUCUCUCAAUAUGCAAAACCACCCGCUCGGUUUCUUGUGCUUUUGCGGUGACGAGAAGCAGGAGAUGAAGAUGAUGAUGAAGAGGAAGAUGCAGANUGGUUUAAUAGCUGCCAGCGAACAGUUACCUUUCCUCAGGGUCUCCUCCUCGUCCAUAAAUAUCUGCCUACACCUGCACUCGACGCUACAAAAAGCUCUGUCUCCUUUGUACAUGUAGAUAUCCUUGCCAGCCAAGAGUUUCUGCCCACAAAGAAAGCAAUGCUCAAGAAAAGUAGGGACUGGGAAAGAUAAGUAGGAAGAUAAAGAGCUUGAAGAAGGCAAAGAAGAAGAAGAAGAAGAAGAAGGUUUAUUGACCAUCAUAGUGGCUUUACUGAUCACUUGUGGGGCUUUCUUGUUAACACCACCCUUUUGCGCCUCCAAAACUAUACUUAAACCCACCAUCUCUCAUUAUAGGAUAUUCUCUCUUUCAAACCCUUCACUCCCAAAACAAGACAAUAGUUGCUUUAAAGACCCAGUGUGGCAGUGGCCGUGGCGGUGGUGGUGUAGGAGGAGACGAAGGAGGGCGUUAUCGGAGGCGAAGAAAACUUUUUCUAGGU